AAGAGUUGCAAAACUCCACCAUUAACCUAUCGGUAAUUCGUUACCUCAGACGUCGUGCUUCAGCGGCCUACCGCCCCUUGCGGGGGGACGCUACCCCGGGCACUACUCUGCAGUUAUUAUGGCUUCUGUGAGUAUGACUUUUAAAUAAGUUA
rnacentral:misc_RNA from 1 species